CCGGUAAACGGCGGCCGUAACUAUAACGGUCCUAAGGUAGCGAAAUUCCUUGUCGGGUAAGUUCCGACCUGCACGAAUGGCGUAAUGAUGGCCAGGCUGUCUCCACCCGAGACUCAGUGAAAUUGAACUCGCUGUGAAGAUGCAGUGUACCCGCGGCAAGACGGAAAGACCCCGUGAACCUUUACUAUAGCUUGACACUGAACAUUGAGCCUUGAUGUGUAGGAUAGGUGGGAGGCUUAGAAGUGUGGACGCCAGUCUGCAUGGAGCCGACCUUGAAAUACCACCCUUUAAUGUUUGAUGUUCUAACGUUGACCCGUAAUCCGGGUUGCGGACAGUGUCUGGUGGGUAGUUUGACUGGGGCGGUCUCCUCCUAAAGAGUAACGGAGGAGCACGAAGGUUGGCUAAUCCUGGUCGGACAUCAGGAGGUUAGUGCAAUGGCAUAAGCCAGCUUGACUGCGAGCGUGACGGCGCGAGCAGGUGCGAAAGCAGGUCAUAGUGAUCCGGUGGUUCUGAAUGGAAGGGCCAUCGCUCAACGGAUAAAAGGUACUCCGGGGAUAACAGGCUGAUACCGCCCAAGAGUUCAUAUCGACGGCGGUGUUUGGCACCUCGAUGUCGGCUCAUCACAUCCUGGGGCUGAAGUAGGUCCCAAGGGUAUGGCUGUUCGCCAUUUAAAGUGGUACGCGAGCUGGGUUUAGAACGUCGUGAGACAGUUCGGUCCCUAUCUGCCGUGGGCGCUGGAGAACUGAGGGGGGCUGCUCCUAGUACGAGAGGACCGGAGUGGACGCAUCACUGGUGUUCGGGUUGUCAUGCCAAUGGCACUGCCCGGUAGCUAAAUGCGGAAGAGAUAAGUGCUGAAAGCAUCUAAGCACGAAACUUGCCCCGAGAUGAGUUCUCCCUGACUCCUUGAGAGUCCUGAAGGAACGUUGAAGACGACGACGUUGAUAGGCCGGGUGUGUAAGCGCAGCGAUGCGUUGAGCUAACCGGUACUAAUGAACCGUGAGGCUUAACCUUACAACGCCGAAGCUGUU
rnacentral:rRNA from 1 species